rnacentral:lncRNA from 1 species
CACACCCUCAGUCCUUGCUCUGAGGAAAAGAACUUCACCUGGGCCCCUUAUAUCACUUACUUUCAGAGAAAUCUGAAUCCUAAUUGGAACCCAGAAGCAGUUCCCUCAUCCAGUUUCAACUCAACUUUGAUCAAACAUGUGUUGCUCCCUCAGACAUUUGUCUGGAAAUACUGAGUAUGUGACUCAGGAACAAACAAAAGUUAACUCCAUAGAAUGAUCUCCUACUGGACCUGAGAUGAUUCUUCCCUCAAUUUCAACUGAUUCAUAUCCUUCCUCAACGGCUGACUCAGAGUCAUGACUCAAUAAUGACGACAUCAUUUUAAGCUUAUAAAAUUUGAAGAGAACCAUGGACAGAAAUAGAAGGGGAAAACAUGUAAAAU